UAUUUGUACCAGAGAACUUACCUGAUUCUACCUGCACUUCAGAUGCUUAAGACAUGUCUGUUUUCUCCACUUUCCCCAACCAGAUUGCUGAGAGUGUGGAGCCCCGGUGAGGGAGGCAGCAUGGUGUGGGAGCCUGAAGGCCGUGACUUUGGGACCUGCCAGGGACAGCCGAGUUUUAUCCCCUGCAGUGAACCGUGGGCAAAUCACUUAAGCUCUGAGCCUCAGUCUUCCUGUUCACAGGAGAUGGAUAAUCAUACUUAACCUCAGCACACUGCAAGGAUUAAGUCAGCCAAGGCGUUUAGAAGCAUUUUGUGUGGGGUGGGUUUUAAUAACUUAGUUCCCUCUGAAGGCUUUGCUGCUCUCAAGUCGGGGAGGAGGUUCCUUAUUUCAGGUGCCCUCAUAAGGACUGCUGGGGAACAAAACGGGUGUAAAGGAAACCAGUGGGCUGGGCGUGGUGGCUCAUACCUGUAACCCCAGCACUCUGCGAGGCCCAGGUGGGCAGAUCGAGUGACCAGCCUGAGCAACACAGCAAAACCCCGUCUCUACAAAAAAAUACAAAAAUUAGCAAGUCGUGACGGUGCACACCUGUAGUCCCAGCUACUCAGGAGGCUGAGGUGGGAAGAUCAGUGGAGCCUGGGAGGUCGAGGCUGCAGUGAGUGGAGAUGGCACCACUUGCCCUCCAGCCCGAGCAACAGGGUUAAAAAAAAAAAAAAAGAAAACCAGUUUUGGAAAACCAGUGAUGUUUAAUGUUUAGGAAAUCAGUCUUUGGGAGACUUCAUCCAUGAAAUCUCUGCUUGGCCUGGCCAGAAAAAUUCUCUCUAGUUUAGAUUGACUUGGCACCACUUUGGGGACCUGCCGGUCAUAUGCAGACUUACAUCCCCACCACACAAUCAAUUCACUGAUGCAGAGGAGUGAGUUUUGUGUUUCUUCACAUUCCAUGGUUCUGGGCUGGCACUUAGGAACAUGAGAAACUGAAUAAUUGAAUGGAAGAAAGGCAAAACUGCCCUCUAGUUGUAGCGAUACAUUUUGUGUAGUGGCUUUUUAUCUGCUUCCAUGUCUCAGGUCAGAAGUUUUGCUGUAGAGGAAGAGGAGGCUGGUAAGAGCAGGUGGUUUUUAUGAUUCAGUGAUCUGCGCAGUGCUUGCUUCUUGGUGAAAGACAGGGCAGGUCCACAUCCAAUCCUAAGGGGCUGCCAUGUAAAAAGCUCAUCCGCCUGCAGGCUUGGGAAAAAAAACCCUUAACACUUGGAGAGGCUACUGUUGCCUGUGGCUAGGGUGAGUGGAUUGGAAGGCUUAAAAUUACUCUGACUAAUGUAAUAAUUAAUUGGCUUUGAGGCUGGGAGAGGCCCUGAAGUGACUCAUUUUCCAUUUGUUUUUCAGACUCAUCUCCAGCUUUUAUAGCCUUUCAUGAUAACUUUCACUUUUGAAAUUCUUACCUUCCCUUCUUGGACUUUUGAAAUGAUGCUUUCUGUCCCUGAAAAGGGUUGAAGAAUAUUUUUUUCUUCCUGGUUUUUUGCUGAGGUAGUGUGGUCAGAGAGAACUGUUAAGUUGGUGUUCUUGUAAGGAUUCUCCAAAGGUGUGUUACGAUGUGUUUGAGGUUCUGUUGCACAUAGGAGCGUUAACCAGCCCCUAGUGUAGUCUAGAAGAAGAGGCAGACAUAUGAAUACUUGAUAAGCGCUAUUGGUUGAUUUAUUGAUGAGAGGCUAGUUUUGUCCUGAUCACUCGCUUCAUUUACUAGAAUUUUUUUUUUUUUUCGAGACGGAGUCUUGCCCUGUCGCCAGGCUGGAGUGCAGUGGCGCGAUCUCGGCUUGCUGCAACCUCUGACUCCCUGGUUCUAGUGAUUCUCCUGCCUCAGCCUCCCGAGUAGCUGGGAUUACAGGCGCCCCUCACCACGUCCAGCUAAUUUUUGUAUUUUUAGUAGAGACGGGGUUUCACCACAUUGGCCAGGAUGGUCUCGAUCUCCUGACCUCAUGAUCUGCCCGCCUCGGCCUCCCAAAGUGCUGGGGUUACAGGUGUGAGCCACCGUGCCCAGCCCAUUUACUAGAUUUUUACUUAACAUAACAUAGAAAUGUGUGUAAUUGUGCUUGCCCGAAAGAGCAGUCCCUGGAGAAAUUCUUACCCUGAGUAGCUCCCAGGGGAGAAUAUUCAGUAUUUCAGCACUCCAGAGGGCUUCUCUCUCUUCACACCUCCUCUGUCAUUCUGCUUCCCCCCUUUUCUCUCAGUCUUCUUGAUUGCCCUUUCCCCAUCUCUCUCUCCGUGCUUUUCCCAUCUCUCCGUGCUUUCUCCCCUCUAGUGUUCCUGUACCUCCUGUUUCCUCCCCUGACCCAGAAAACAUAGUUUUAGAGCUGAAAGGGACUGGUUGAGUUCACUGGGCCCAACUCAGUUUCUUUUAAUUAAAUAUUUUAUUUUGGGGUCAUGUAAAUCACAUGCAGUUGUCAUCAGUAAUGCAGAGAGCCCGUGUACCCUCUACCCAGCUUUCCCCAGUGGAAGCAUCUGCAAAACGAUAGUGCAGUGUCACAGCCAAGACAUCUGCCAGGAUGCGGUCAAGAUACCCCAAUCCCUGGGGCCUCACGUGCUGCCCUGUGUACCGCCCCUCCCUCCAUAGCCCCCGGCAGCUACUGAUCUGUUCUUCAUCUCCAGAACUUUGUCAUUUCAAGAAUGUUAUGUAAAUGGAAUCAAACAGUAUAUAACCUUUCGGGUUGACUUUUUUCAUUCAGCAUAACCCCCUGAGGUCCAUGCAGAUUGUUGCUGUAUCAGUAGUUCAUAGAUAGUUUCAUUGCUGAGUCGUGUUUUAUGACAUGGACGUACCACAGUGUGUUUAACCACUGAAAGACAUCUGGGUCCUUUCCAGUUUUCAGCUGUUAUGAAUAAAGCUCUUAUAAAC
ensembl:lncRNA novel transcript